GUCUCCAUCGUCUAGUGGUUAGGACACCGGGUUUUCAUCCCGGCAACGGGGUUUCGAUUACCCCUGGAGAUG
rnacentral:tRNA from 1 species